rnacentral:tRNA from 5 species
UCUCGGGUGGUCUAAUGGUAAGACAUCUGGUUUUGGUCCAGAGGAUUGGGGUUCGAUUCCUUGGCCGAGAACCA